rnacentral:lncRNA from 1 species
UGAAAUUUUCAGAGAUGUAUGGCAGUUUAACAAACCGGAAAUCGAAGUUCAAUGGGCGAUAUGAUGGUUGGGAUUUAUAACUAGGAAUGUAUUUUAGCAGCACAGGUUAAAAUGAGUGUGUACUUUACUGUUGUAUGCUAUUUCUACCCAUACCCUUUUGGGUAGGUAUAAAUUUUUUUUUAGCUUUGAGAGUUCUUUUUCCUCUUCUGGUUUUUGGUUUACAGGUUUCAUGUUUCACAUAGUUUGGAUAGUAAUGUGUACAUUGUUACUGUGAAAAUUGUGUUCCUUUUAUCUAAUGGGAAGAUA